rnacentral:rRNA from 1 species
GGGGGAAUUUUCCGCAAUGGGCGAAAGCCUGACGGAGCAAUACCGCGUGAGGGAGGAAGGCUCUUGGGUCGUAAACCUCUUUUCUCAGGGAAGAACACAAUGACGGUACCUGAGGAAUAAGCAUCGGCUAACUCCAUGCCAGCAGCCGCGGUAAUACGGAGGAUGCAAGCGUUAUCCGGAAUGAUUGGGCGUAAAGCGUCCGCAGGUGGCUGUGUAAGUCUGCUGCUAAAGAGUCUAGCUCAACUAGAUAAGAGCAGUGGAAGCUACAAGGCUAGAGUACGUUCGGGGCAGAGGGAAUUCCUGGUGUAGCGGUGAAAUGCGUAGAGAUCAGGAAGAACACCGGUGGCGAAGGCGCUCUGCUAGGCCGUAACUGACACUGAGGGACGAAAGCUAGGGGAGCGAAUGGGAUUAGAUACCCCAGUAGUCCUAGCCGUAAACGAUGGAUACUAGGCGUGGCUUGUAUCGACCCGAGCCGUGCCGUAGCUAACGCGUUAAGUAUCCCGCCUGGGGAGUACGCCGGCAGCGGUG